GCCCGGAUGGCGAAACUGGUAGACGCAAGGGACUUAAAAUCCCUCGGUGGCAACACCGUGCCGGUUCGAUCCCGGCUCCGGGCA
rnacentral:tRNA from 1 species